GCUGCAGUAGUUUACCUAAAACAUUAGCCCGUGAAGCUAAAAAUGAAAACUUUUCCCGCAGCC
rnacentral:tRNA from 1 species